AUCUAGGUUUUAAUUUUGUUAUCGACCCUCUGCUUCGCAAUGGUCAAAUUUAAGUUUUUCUUUUGCGAUUUUGGCCCUCUGCAAGGCAAUGGUCAAAUCNAGGUUUUAAUUUUGUUAUNGGNCCUCUACUUCGCAAUGGUCAAAUUUAAGUUUUUCUUCUACGAUUUUGGCCUUCUGCAAGGCAAUGGUGAAAUCCAGGUUUUAAUUUUGUUAUCGGCCCUCUGCUUCGCAAUGGUCAAAUUUAAGUUUUUCUUCUGUGAGUUUGGCCCUCUGCUAGGCAAUGGUCAAAUCCAGGUUUCAAUUUUUGCUAUCG
rnacentral:lncRNA from 1 species